UUUUUUAAGUUAGAAAGUUUUGGUGAAUCAUAGAGGAUAGAACAUCGAAAGAUGUAUUUAUAAUUAAGUAAGGUGAAUAGUGAAUACCUUUCCAAAUCAUGCCUUUUUCAAUCGACGCACUUCUUUCCGAAAUCUCAAAACCAAUAUAAACCGAACCGAAAAUCAAUUGUAAUUUCAAAUCCAUGUAAACCGAACCGAAAUCAAUUGAAAUUUCAAACCAUGUAAACCGAACCGAAAUUGUUUGCAUCUUCUCGCCGGUUGGUAACAGAAUCAUGUUCAAGAAACUGUGAGCAAGAAACUAUUUCUGGUAGAAGAGGACGAAUCAGGUACUGACUCUGCUGGAAUGUACAAAUCGCUAAGUUCAUGUUUGGAGAAAAAAGAAGAUGAAGCAGAACCGGAGAAGGUAGUAGUAACUUUGAAAGCAAUCGUUAGGAAGCAAGACAUAAAUAUUUUAUUCGUUGAAUGCGGAGAGGAAUUUGUUGAGCUUCUUUUAUCUUUUCUUGCUGUCCCGCUUAAAUCUGUAUGGGAAAUCUCUGGCAGCGGUAUCUCUUUAGGUUGCAUUGGAAACUUGUGUAGAAGCUUCAGUGACUUAAACGCUAAUAAGGGGACUGAACUGUCAACUUCAACAUGCGCAUUACCGUCUUUUUAUAGAUUCCAGAUGCAGGUGCCCCGUAUCAUCACUCAACAACCUCCAGUAUACUACCGCUACACCGAUUGCAGGCAAGUGAGCUAUGGAUGGUGUGACUACAAACGGUAAUCGAACUCCUUGUUAGCGCAAGGACAGAAUCGUUCGGGUGGAUUUGAUGGAUCCCAAAUCCCGUGGCAGUGAUAAGUCUACUCAUGGGUUCUUGAAGAAAGAGACAAAGUUUACUGUCUUAGAUGAUCUGACCAUUACAUCUAUGAACUCCUGCUCCUCAGUUUGCUUACUAAAGAAGUUACAGAGUCACGCAGACGAUCUAGAGGUGCAAGUAGUUAGCAUUAGCAAUGCAGAGGUAUGCUUCUACAUACCCUUUUUGAUCCUCUUUAAUUGAUAGGAACUUGACUGAAACUGUCAUUGAAUUUGUUGAGAGCUUCCUCUGCUUUGAGCACGGCACUAUGGAAUUUGAUUGCUGAUAAACUGAAGGAGGAGACUGAUUUAUGGAAUCCGGUUUCAAAGAAGGUGAAGGAAGAGACUUGAAGAAAAAAUACAGAGCUAGUGAGAAUGACCUCUUAAGUUGCUACUAAUCAAUUGUUGAUUAUGUUUUUAGAAUUCUGCAAGAUCUACAUUAUAUUCCUCAUGUGUUCUUAUUAGUGGAUUUCCAAGCUUUUUCUUUCUUUGUAUGACUAAUCAAAUUAUUGAGUUUUA